rnacentral:rRNA from 1 species
CCUACGGGAGGCAGCAGUAGGGAAUUUUGCGCAAUGGGCGCAAGCCUGACGCAGCAACGCCGCGUGAUCGAGACGCCCUUCGGGGUGUAAAGAUCUGUCAGUGGGUACGAAACUUGACGGUAACCACAGAGGACGCACCGGCUAACUCAGUGACCGCAGCCGCGGUAAUACGGGGGGUGCAAGCGUUGUCCCGAAUCAUUGGGCGCAAAGAGUACGGAGGCUGCACGUAAAGUAGGGAGGUAAAGGCAGGGGCUCAACUUCUGUGCGGAACUGGAUACUUGCGAGCUAGAGUGCAGAAGGGGAGAAGGGAAUUCCUGGUGUAGCGGUGAAAUGCGUAGAUAUAAGGAGGAACAUCGGUGGCGUAAGCGCUUUUCUGGGCCGUAAUUGACGCUGAGGAUCGAAAGCCAGGGUAGCAAAUGGGAUUAGAUACCCGAGUAGUC